GAUUUCUGGCUCGAUACAUUUUGCCGGCCACGGUUUCGUGUGUUAGUGCAUUAUGUUCUGGCCAUCCUUCCAAUUGCUGCUUACUUUUCUUCAUUGAUUGGUAAGUGGUGUUGGAUCUUUUACUUUGAAAAAAUUAGAGUGUUUAAAGCAGGCUUUUUGCUAUGAAUACAUUAGCAUGGAAUAAUAAUUUAGGACUUUGGCCCUAUUUUGUUGGUUUCUAGGACUGAAGUAAUGAUUGAUAGGGAUAGUUGGGGGUGCUCGAAUUCAGCGGCCAGAGGUGAAAUUCUUGGAUUCGCUGAAGACGAACUCAUGCGAAAGCAUU
rnacentral:rRNA from 1 species